rnacentral:rRNA from 1 species
GCUUAGCCCUAAACCUAGAUAUUACUUUACAAAAAUAUCCGCCAGGGUACUACGAGCACAGCUUAAAACCCAAAGGACUUGGCGGUGCCUCAGAUCCACCUAGAGGAGCCUGUUCUAGAACCGAUAACCCCCGUUAAACCUUACCAUCCCUUGUUUAUCCCGCCUAUAUACCGCCGUCGUCAGCUUACCCUGUGAAGGGUAAAUAGUAAGCAAAAUGGGCAAACCCCAAAACGUCAGGUCGAGGUGUAGCAUACGAGAUGGAAAGAAAUGGGCUACAUUUUCUAAUACAGAAUACUACGAACGGCGCCCUGAAACAAGCGCCCGAAGGCGGAUUUAGCAGUAAAAAGCAAGCAGAGUGUCCUUUUGAAUUAGGCUCUGAGGCGCGC